ACCCGGCUGGGCCUCCCGAUCCCCGCCCGGGCAAUGCCCGUCCCCAGCGCAGCCCUCAGCGCUCGCUGCCCCCACCGAGGCCGGUUCCGGGGCCGGUGUCCCCAAGGCACGACCCGCGCAGGCCGAGGCCGCACGGGCCCAACCGGAGAGCGCGAAAGGUAAUUCAACUUACUGGAUUCUGCAAUGGAAGACAAGUGAUGUUAUCUUGUUUUAUCCAUGAGCUAAACACAGCAUAUGUGCAGUUGCCAGAGCUCAGCGAGCAGUAAGAACAGUGCCAUAUCUGGAACUUAAAUCUAGUACUUUUGUUUCAUGUGGUACAAAAUAUGCACCAAGACAUUGUCAGUCUGCCUCUGGACCACAGAUUUAGAUGAAACUGUUUUCACAAUUAAUAUAAAGACAAAGUAAAAGGUGACAUUUUAAUAUUUUAUUCAAGUCGAGUUUGGGUUUUUUAUCCAUUUUUAGUAGUGUCAAGUACAGCAUUUUGGGGUCUAGUUCCACACAAAAUGGAAGACUCUCUAAAAAUGUACCCAUUUAGUUGCUAAAAAAAAGUGGUAAUAAAACAAAACUUCCCAUUUUAGAUUUAAGUGAUGCAACUGUGUGAUUGCAGUCGCAAAGACUCUUCCCUGAUUCUGUCUGUUUUUUACAAGCUUUCUGGUCAGUGCAAGGGGAAGGAACCACAACACAGGACAGGCAGCGUUGGCUGAGUCACAUCAAACCUCCUCCGUGACGGGACCUGGACAAGGCGGACAACCUAAAGCAUUCUGGAGACAGCUGGAGGGGGGGGGGAGGUAACCAAAUAAGACAAACCAUUGAUGGAAUACAGAGCUAAAAAAAAAAAAUAAAAUCUUAAAAUCCCUUUUUCAGACAAGUUUGCACAUUCCCCCGUCAGUUGAAACCUCAAGUGUUGGAAGGUUUUGCUCACGGAAUUAACAGUACAACGGAGUGGUCUGCAUGGAAAUCCUCAGGGUUUGCACCACAUUAACACAUUCCUUGUGCCAUCAGUAUGUUAGUAGAGGUAAUCAACGCCUUCCUCCUUCCUAUCACGUGGCAGCUGACACAUGUGAUGAGCAAUUACAUAAAGAAAAAAAGCCUGGAAUUAGGAUUUUUUUUUUUACGCUUUUGUCUCCACUUCUUUAACAACAUCAUUUUUAAAGCUUAGCUGUCUUUAACCAGGACUAGCAGGACUGAUACGUAGCAAUACUCGCACCCCAGACAAAACAUUGAAAGGUACACUAUAUUCUGAAGGUAGCUAUGCUGUAUUUUCAGAUUAGCAAUUGUGAAAUCACUCCUUAUGCUUCGAAUUCCAGUCCUAGACCAAGUUUGUGACCACCUGCGUUGACGUUCUUGCCAUCCAACAAAGCUGACAAUGUCAGUUUGAUACCUGCAAAACAGAGAAAAGUGAGAGAAAAGUCAACUUAAAACUUGGACUGAGCUUUAGGUUCAGUGUCUGUGCUACUGCUUUAAUUUAUUGGGUAGCCAGGUUAAUGGCAUUUGGCAGCUGGCCUUGUAAGGGCUGGGCAUUUUACAGCAACUUGCAGAUAAGAAAUCUUUCUGAGUUAUGAAAUUUAUAAUAAACCAUGAUGAUGGAUUCUGCUUUUUAUCACUCUGGGUAAUUAAAGCUCUGAGUCAAUUCGCUGCUGCAGGUCUACUGAUUAAUCUAAUUUGAGAGUCUAGUAUUAUGAAAAAUUGGGACCUUGAUACAUAUCCACCUUUCUAAACCACUUUAAAAUCUAGGUAGGAAAAAGCCCAAGCCCUGUCUGCUGUAAUAUCUCAUGUCAAUCUGCUCAGUAUUCUGGCAGCAGAUUUAUUAGACUACAUUAAAACCAAUUUCACAGCAGUAAGAUUGUCCUCUUCCUGGGCCAGGGGACCUUGAGAAAGUCACAUUUUCAAGCAAAAUAAACUCAGUAAUAAGAAGCCUCUGAAAGUAUUAAAAAUGUGUUUACUUAUCUAUGACACAACUAAUUAUAUUUUGUAUCAACAUAAAAGAGUAUCUGACUGGGCAGUGGACCAUGGUCUCUAAUAAUUCUGCUUCCAACAGGCAUCCAAAAUUAACAGAGCAGUCCCUAGAAAGGUUCAUCCCUGGCUUGCCAAGCACAACAGCAAUCUUACAAAACCCAUCACAUUUUGUCAUCAAAAAAACUUCUGGUAUUUCAAGACUAAAAUAUCACUUUAUUGAUUCUGAUUUUUUUUUCUGCCUAGACCUACCUGGCUUUAAAGUCUGAGUGUAUCCUAACCCGAUCAGACUGGAGUUGUUCACUUUAGC